ensembl:lncRNA
GUGAGUUUCAUAGAAAACAGGAUAAGGAAUUUUACCCUGUUUUGGAAAGAUAUGCUAUUAUUUUCAGUACUAGUGAAUUUGAGGCAUGUCAUAUGGGCACCGAAGUAAACACACUGCUUUUUAAGUGUAGGAAGCAUCAUUACUGACCGGUCCAAAUGUUGCUGUUGUAUCACUGAAUAUGCAGACCGACUUUGUUGUGCUUUCUUUUAUUGUAGCACAGUUGAUACAGGAAUUGAUUCAAAAAGCAGAGCAUUGGUAUACCUGAAAAAAAAAAAAUAAAUUCUCAGUGCUGCAUAAUGCUUUGCAUUAUACUGACCAGCAAAAAACUAUAGCUGAAACUGAAGCUUCCCAUUAAGGAAUUUCUUAAAAUUUGUGGUAGGAAUUCAUAAUAGAAAUGAAAUAUUUUAACGUCUCCAAAUUCAUUGUUUUCUUUCACCUCACUCUGAACUUAAAUUUUUUUUUCUGCCUGAAAAAGAACUACUCUUCCUCCCCCUCAUAUCUCCCAGUAAGCCUGCUCAGUCCAGAGAUACAUCUGUCUCGAUGUGUCAGAAGCAUGCAGCCUCUGUACCCGGUGGGGAGCUUGUGUUUAGUGCUGAGAAGAUGCACUGCUCCAAAGCAGCCCUGUGGUUCACUCGACAAGGCACCAAAAUUAGAAGUCCAGAGUGGUGCUUCAGAUAACACAGCUUAUCCCAAUACAAAACACCGUCUGCUCGGAAUGUGAUAUAUUUUCCUGCGUGAAUCAAACCUGGCUUUUAGUGCAGUACUUUAUUUGGAUUUCGAUGAUGAAAGAUUUCUGUUUUCAGUCUUGGAUACAGCGCUUCCUUGGAGAACUCCAUCUGUUGUAUUUGGUUCUGCUGACCAACUCUCUUCUGAGGCUCUCCAAUUCAUGACUUUUACCUGUGCAUAUCUUUGUUGUGAAGGAUUCUCUCCUGAGAUGUGCUCCUUGUUGUUACAUGCAGGGAACCGUGGAACCAGUUUCAAUCGUCUCAAGGUGGAAGAAAGGCAUCACGAUGAGCUGAUAAAUGUUCUUGCAGACUAAUGCAAGAAAAUUGGGUUUCAGGUCCUGACCGACUUGGAGCCCAGAGAAACAAAAAGCACUGUCUGUGUAUGUGUAGGGCAACACAAUAGGAGCUGAAAGUGGGAUGAGAGGAAUUUAGAUCCAGAAAAGGGCAUGUAGAAAGCCAG